UUAUGAUAUGUUUCCUUUCUCUGAUUUAAGAUCGACCUGUUGCUUUCCUAUUUUGAUGGCUUUUAGCAGCGUUUUUUUGGCAAAUUUUCUUUUAAUGAAAGCAUAACAAGGUUUUGUUAGGCCCUCUGUGUGGUCGCCGAGAAAAUUUAAGGUCAUGAUUGUAUUUUUUCAAAUCUUUUUCGAUCUCAAAUAAUUAAACUUACGUGAAGAAACUAUGAAAAUGAGAAAGUUAUUUUCCUGCAUUUUCUCAGCAACUAAACGGAAUGCUUGUGUGGGAUUUUGAUAUGUGUUAGUGGACCUUAACUUUAGCGAGCGCGGUAGCCAAAGGGAUCGAGAUCGAGAAAGGGCUCAAGCCAGGGCAGGAAACAAGGCCAGGCAGCCAAAGGAAGAUGGUUCUGUAUCUCUUGGUAUUCCAAGACCUUUGUUUAACACCUGAACAAAAGAGAGAGAGGGAUGCGAGAGCACUUCAAGAGAAAUUGGCGAAAAAAGCAGCACAAGGGAAGAACAAUAAUAGUGUAGCUAAUAAUAAGAAUAAGAAGUAAUGGAUAAAGAGUUUGAGUAGUAGUGAUGAGAAAUGUAGUGUGCUGUAUCAGAUCUCUGGGCUUUGGAUUUGAAUUCAUGCAGAUUAUGUCAUUUUGUGUAGAUAGUGAACAAAUCAAGAUUUGCUUGGUUUCGGCAUGUUAUGUAUGUUGACUUCUGUAUCCUUAAUUUGUUUCUGAUUUGGAAUGCAAUUUAUUGUUGGAUUUUA